rnacentral:lncRNA from 1 species
CAAGAUGAAGAGCUUCGUUCUAAUGUCAGUAGUAUGUUUAUUAAGUUUGACAAUAAACAGAAGCAUGAUGACAGAAGGUAAAAUUUGUUUAACUUUUACUUCGAUAUGUUUUUCUUACUUGAAUAAUAUUAUGACUUUCGAAGAUAUCAUGAACGAACUAUGCUUAAUAAAAAGUCAGUUUGCGCUCUUUCAAUUAUGAUUUACGCCAUCAGCAGUACCAUACAAUCUCGUUAGAUACAUUAAUUCUGGUUAUUUGCUAUAAAUCCGAAAUGAAUGAAAUGGAAACAAGUUUUAAAAGAGUAUUAAAAUUUCUUACUGAGUGUAUUAAUGUCACGAUUUGAUAUACAAUUGGACCACCCAACGUAACGGAAUCCUAGUAUCUAUAACAACAAUGACCAAAAAUAUUGGACAGUCCACCCACCCAUAACAGCAGCAUAUAGUCCAAAUAGCCUGACAUGGUACUGGCGCAAUGUGGUGGGGUCAAACCAGUUUUACGCGCUUACCACUCCGAUGUUUGCGUAUCUAGAUCAAAAGUCGUAACUAAUAAUAUCCCACACUUAAUGAAAUACACUAAACAGUGCAGCUACCAACAGGAUAUGACCAAUAUCUUAAACCCCCCAAAAAACAAAAACGACGGAAAACGAUUUAGAUUUCAUAUAAAUAUUGAAAAAAUACCUCAUAAACCUUUUUGUUCCUUUUCAGGUCGUCCAUAUGACCAGCAGCCAUGUUGUGUUUGAGUGCGAGCACUGUGUAAUUGUCCGUGCACUCUUAGCUGGCCUCAAAAACCGGCACGUCAAUAUCCUUGGCUAGAUUUAUUUUCAAGAAAUCUUCACUGAAAUGUUUUAAUAAUUUUAGUUUACAUUAGAGAAGGGAUGACAACAUUAUUUCAACAAAAACAUAG